rnacentral:tRNA from 1 species
GCCUUAUAAGAUCUUAAAUGAUGGUUGCUCUUGUAAAGCGAAGGAGGUGGUAAGAAUUCCACCAUAAGGCA